rnacentral:piRNA from 1 species
AGCCUAGGGAGCUCAGAGUGAAGGA